rnacentral:rRNA from 1 species
GAUGAACGCUAGCGGCAGGCUUAAUACAUGCAAGUCGAGGGGCAGCACAGUGUAGCAAUACAUGGGUGGCGACCGGCAAACGGGUGCGGAACACGUACGCAACCUUCCCAAAACUGGUGAAUAGCCUUUCGAAAGAGAGAUUAAUACACCGUAACUUAAUGAAGUGGCAUCACUUUAUUAAUAUAGCUCCGGCGGUUUUG